rnacentral:misc_RNA from 1 species
UCUAGAUCUUGAGAACCCCUAGUUUCUCCAGUGAUUGCUUUAUGUCAUUAACGUUGCAUCCCUCGCUUUGGACAACAUUGGCACUAUCGAAUGGUGUAACAUCUUCCAAAGGAUAGCUUCUGUCAGCAUGAAGCUUACGAGCAGUGCUGCCAACUCCCUUCAAUAUAACUGACUUGUGAAGUCCACCAAGUAGGCCUUCGUAAUCUGAUUCACCACAUUCCCCCACAAAAACCACAAAAUUUGACAAGUCUGCACCCCAUCGAACGUAUAGAUAUCUGAGGGCUUGGGAUCGAGAAGCCAACACAGGGAUCACAUUUAUCUUGGCACCAUUCUGACAAUAAAUAACAUGGCAGCGGAGGCCCUGAAUUCUCAUCAAUUUCCGAAGUUCUCUAAAUGGAGGGAUCAACGAUGGUUCUUUCACUUUAAAUGCAAAGCAAUGUGCUGUUGAUCCUGAU